GAGUUUGAUCCUGGCUCAGGAUGAACGCUGGCGGCGUGCCUAACACAUGCAAGUCGAGCGCGACUGAUUUGAUGCUUGCAUCGAUGAAAGUUGAGCGGCGGACGGGUGAGUAACGCGUGGGCAACCUGCCCUGUACACAUGGAUAACAUACUGAAAAGUUUACUAAUACAUGAUAAUAUAGUUUUUCGGCAUCGAAGAAUUAUCAAAGUGUUAGCGGUACAGGAUGGGCCCGCGUCUGAUUAGCUAGUUGGUGAGAUAACUGCCCACCAAGGCGACGAUCAGUAGCCGACCUGAGAGGGUGAUCGGCCACAUUGGAACUGAGACACGGUCCAAACUCCUACGGGAGGCAGCAGUGGGGAAUAUUGCACAAUGGGCGCAAGCCUGAUGCAGCAACGCCGCGUGAACGAUGAAGGUCUUCGGAUCGUAAAGUUCUGUUGCAGGGGAAGACAAUGACGUACCCUGUGAGGAGCCCC
rnacentral:rRNA from 1 species